GCGAGAGAUGUGGAACGUUUUUUUUUAUGUAUUUGUGUUUUUGCUUAUUUAGUAAAUUUUUUAAUUUGAAGGUAUGUUUUGUUUAACAAUAAUCCGGAGGAGCUCCGACACCAGUAAAUUUAAUGGUUAUUUUUGGAUGCCAGUUAUUUAUUCAAUAACGGGUUCAAAUUGGUUAUAUAAGUGUUUCCGUUGGCUGUGGUAGGACGAU
rnacentral:lncRNA from 1 species